rnacentral:rRNA from 1 species
UACAUAGGCUCCAAGCGUUGUUCGGAAUUACUGGGCGUAAAGCGAGUGUAGGCUGUCCGCCAAGUCGAUUGUGAAAUCUCCCGGCUCAACUGGGAGGGUGCGGUCGAAACUGGCGGGCUAGAGUUCGGGAGAGGAGAGUGGAAUUCCUGGUGUAGCGGUGAAAUGCGUAGAUAUCAGGAGGAACACCGGCGGUGAAGACGGCUCUCUGGACCGAUACUGACGCUGAGACUCGAAAGCGUGGGGAGCAAACAGG